ensembl:lncRNA
GUCCAGUUUACGUAACCGUUUAGUAAAGAUGAAGAUAUCGAGAUGCUUCAGGUGAGUUGUAAUGCAUGUGUGUGUCACCAUGAUGGAUUCAUGUGUCUUUUAUCUGUUCAUCCCAGCAGCUGCCAGCCAGCCCUGGAUAUUCAACAAAUCUUUCCCUUUCACUAUCUUGCUGCUGAGAAGUAACUAAUAUUUGCUACUACUGCAGCUACAUGACCAAAUACCGCCAGUUGGGUUUGGAAUUUCAUCAUAUUCAAAUACACACCAGCAGCUCUGGCAUCCCCGAGUGACUUCUCCACGAAUCUAUUCCAUAUUAAUGGGUGUGUUAUCAGUUCUUCUGCAGCUGCCAGUCAGUCACAAACACCGCGGCCCUGCAGGGACUGACCCCUCCUCUAACACUGCCCACAAUUUGGACCAUUGACAGAAUGACUGGCAGCUUGAAUGAGGGAUCAAAUGUGCACUCAAUAAUGAAUCGGUUACCACCCAACUUAUGAGAGGUGAAUGAGAAUUUAAACAGCUUUAGCAUCGACCUUUUUUUGCAAUCAGCAUCCCUAGAAAAGCUGAAGACAAUGGAGAAUAACUGUUAUCCUUUAAAUGAAAAGCAGGUCGGAUCCACUGACGUGAGCUCAUUUCCACAGAAACCACAGAAGAGCCACAAGUUCAAAGAAAAGACAGUUUCAACACUAAAGGCUGGUAAAUGAGCCUGUAUCUCUAAUUUCACUGCUUUUUUAAAAUCCCAUCUGUCGUCUCCGUUUUGUUUGCACAGGGAACUCCCCACCACCUGCCUCCGUCACCGAUCUGUUCCUGCAAAAUGCUAAUUGCUGUGUAAUCUCUCGGUGGUCAAACACGAUAAGCCUUUUGUUUGUUUGUAUAAAUUAUGAGCUAAAUUGAAGCUGCUACAGGCAUUUGUACCUCAAAUGUGGUCCUCUGACAUUUAUUUGUUUGUGUAUUCCAAACAUAUUUUGUUAUUUUAUUCCCUUGGUUUUCUGAUAAGCCAAGCUGAAAUAAAUUCAUAGAUUAUUUUUUAGAUUUAAGACAUAAAAACCCCAAACAAAAAGAGACAAAAAAUGUCCAGACUCAGGAGAAAUACCAAAGGCCAAUGAUAAAUUACUUUAAUCCCACUUAAUAAUGAGAGUAAAGUAGCCGAUCAAUAUUGGGGAGGAAGGUUCUGAAUAAUGAUUUAGAGGGUGGGAUGGAUCACAUUUCAGAUGACAUAAAUCACCUGUUCUUGCUUUAGUUGAAACUAUAUGAGUUUCAGAGAGUUAUGGGCUUUGCUCAGUUAUCCUAGUAAAUGUUUAAUUUCCAUAGUUUGAGCUCUUAAAUCAGUUUAAAGUGUCC